GCCCUGCGGCGCGGGUGCCGGACCCGGAAGUUCCGGGUCGAGUACCUGGUGCCAACUCAGGUGCCAGCGCGUCCUAUCGGGUGCGCUCGGAAACUGCAGCCAUGGCGGCGUCUGGCCCAGUGCUGUGCCUCUUCGAUGUGGAUGGGACCCUGACGGCCCCGCGGCAGAAAAUUACCAAAGAAAUGGAUGACUUUCUACAGAAAUUGAGGCAGAAGAUCAAAAUUGGAGUGGUAGGCGGGUCAGACUUUGAAAAAGUGCAGGAGCAGCUGGGAAAUGAUGUGGUUGAAAGAUAUGAUUAUGUGUUUCCAGAAAAUGGCUUGGUAGCGUACAAAGAUGGGAAACUAUUAUGUAAACAGAAUAUUCAAGGUCACCUGGGUGAGGCUCUGAUCCAAGACUUGAUCAACUACUGUCUGAGCUACAUUGCAAAAAUUAAACUUCCCAAGAAAAGGGGUACUUUCAUUGAAUUCCGAAACGGGAUGUUGAAUGUGUCCCCUAUUGGAAGAAGCUGCAGCCAAGAAGAACGCAUUGAAUUCUACGAACUGGAUAAAAAAGAAAAUAUAAGACAAAACUUCGUAGCAGAUCUGCAGAAGGAGUUUGCAGGCAGAGGCCUCACGUUCUCCAUAGGAGGCCAGAUCAGCUUUGACGUCUUUCCUGAUGGAUGGGACAAGAGGUAUUGCCUGAGACACGUGGAAAAUGACGGUUAUAAAACCAUUUAUUUCUUUGGAGACAAAACCAUGCCAUGAAUGUUCUCUGAAAGCAGUUGUGACUUCGGGCUCAGAACUUCCAGCUCCUGGUGUCACCCUUCCAUACUGUGACCGCCCAGAAGGCUGCUUGUGUUCCUGCUGAGCCAUGAGUUUUGCUGGCUCCCAGGGAAGGAGCCCGAGCUCUUUGUCAGUAAAGAGCUAUUUCCCUGCAGGCACUGAAGGCCGCGCUUGCUUUUCCAAGAAACCCUUCUUCCUCCCCAGCAGCCGCACUCAGACCUGGCUCUGAGUUCAGCUGACAGGCCUGGGCCCGCCUACGCCCACCUGCGCCUGCAGGGAGAGAGCCUAGGGACACACCCAGCCUGGUCCACCUGCUGAGUCCCCCAGCCACUCUGGCUUCUCCCAGAACCCUGGUUUGUUGAAAGCUGCUUGCGAGCAGCACCGUGGCUUUCAGGCAUUAGAAAUGUGAAAACACUUCAUGGUGACUGCCCCGCGCUCCACCUUGGGCAGCUGAGCUCUGGGUGUCCUGGCAUGUGUGCGCCUGGGAACUGAGGAGACCAGCCCUUACACAGUGGUCCUGGGGACACAUCUCUGCAGUUUCCUUAGUGCCUGAAGCAAAGUGCAGGACCAUAUAAGUAAAGUGCUACGUCUUUGUCUAAAGUGGGGGAAAUAAUCUCUCACCUCAGCUUGCGCUGUGUGAAGGGAGCCUGAAAGGUAAAGAAACACUCAGCAGGUACCAGAGGGGCGAGCAGGGGCCUGGAGACUGGCCACCAAGCUCUUGUCCUCUUUAGACGCUUUUCCCCCAAGUCACCUGGCUCCGGGCACACCCCAGGCCGAGGUCUGGGAGAUUCAGAUGGAUGCAGGUGUGUCCCCUGGCCGCCGUUCUCUGGGCAGUCUGAGGUGCAGCCUGCGGUAGCACCAGGAGACCCAUCUUCAUUUUGAACUAUGUGAAUAUGGGGAUCUUGUUUGUUUUCUGAGGAUUUUUUGUCGUCGUGCCUGGACUUGAACUCAGGGUCUCACACAAGCUGGGCAAGUGUUCUACCACUGAACUACAGCCACAUCCCAGAAUGUUCUAUCUGUUGAAAGUAGACUUUGAAAAUAUCAGAUUGAGAAAGGAAGCUGCAGUUUUCGGGCACCUCUCAGUUCAGACCUGAGCAGGACGCGGGGGAGGCGUGGGCCCUGCUGGGCUCUCGGCCGACAGCCGGGCCCCUUAGUUCCCAUCUUGCCCUUCACCUCACCACCUCUGCAAGCCAGCGGCUUCCUCCCCUUCCCACUAAAUGUGCAGCAUUUUACUCUCCUGAAACGUGAACAAGACCACCUGUCUUUAAUAUUGGAUUGCGGGCUGGGGAUCAGCUCAGUUGGUGGAGUGCCUCCUCCCCUGUACAAGGCCCUGGGUUCCAUCCCCAGCACCCCCCCCCCCAAAAAAAAAAAUUGAGAGCAUGGGUCAAGAGGUUUGUAAACCAAAAAGAUGGAUGUGGCCCUGCCACCUGCCCCUGCAGUAACUACACACAAGCCUCCGUCUCUCUGAGGUUCAGUUCCCCUGUGAAUCAGCCGUACCUGGACACAGUGAGGUCCUGAGAGGGGUAACAAGCCCCUGGCUCAGAGGGGGGGUCAGGGUGUGCCCUCUCCCAGCAGCCAGCUGUGCUUCCUUUAGGAGACACUGGAAAAGCCUGGCUCGGCCUGGAAUCCCGGCCACGUGGCAAAGCUGUGUCCGAAAGGUCUGGGACGGGGUUCAGUGGUGGAGCACCCCUUAGGGCUGCAAGAGCCUCCCCCCGUUACUGAGGUCUCAGAGAUUGGGACCUGCCAGGUCCCAGGAGACAGGUCCUCACCGACUCCAGGCUCUCGUCUAGGCUCCCCGCUGGCCCUCGAGUCAGAGGGUCACCAGGGUUCACCACUUGACUGUGGGGCUCAGCAGCAGCCUGUGCAGAUGGGGUGGGGAGUGCCAGCCCCAGGAACUGAACACGGAACCCUGGGCCUCUAGGGAUUUGAGUGUUAAGGGGCGAACUUCCCCUCCUUUGGGCCUGUAACAGAUUGCCACAGAAGCAUGCUGCUCUUUCUCGCCUCCUCCCCCUUUCCUCGGGGAACAUGCUUUUUAUUCGUGGAGCCUCCCCUAAUGGAACCCUAGCCUUUGGUGCAUAUGCAAAUCGAGCAUUUGAAAUUUCCGAUUCCCUGAAGCCUUAUUCUAGACGCCUUCCUCUGAGGAGCUCAGGGCUUGGUUCUGUCUGAGCUGCAGACUUCAGGCGCCUGGGAAGGAGCCCCCUGCCCUGAAACUGACUUGGAAGGAAGAGAGUCCCUUGGUGGAGAAAGGAAGGCCUGGGGUGGCUGGGAAGGUGCUUGGGAGGAAGAUGCCCUGGCAGCCAGCAGAGCUGCAGGGCACAUGGCUGGAUGCCAGGGUCCUCGGGGGUUCUGGAGCAGCAGGUAGCCUGACUCAGAAGCCCAAGGCCAGCAGGGCUGUGGGGGCCCUUCCUCCAGCCACUGGACACACCCCAUCACAGUAUGUGCCCAGCUUCCUCAGACCGCCACCUUUUUUAGGCUGUUUCCUGAUCCGGGCCAGGGUGAGACUUGCAGGAAGGCACACCAGGUGAGGAACAAGACCGGAGCUGUGCUUCACCUGACGUCUCCCGGACCUGGCCUUGGGCAGGUCCCACCAUUACCCCAUUCUGGGCAGAAGAGCCUUCUGUAGCCACACCCUCAUUCAGUCAGAACCAAGGUCCAACCCAGGCCACCCGCUGCAGAGACCAUACCCUUAGCCAGCCACCAGCUGCAUGGGGCCAUCUAAAUGUGAUCAAAAUCAAACUCAGCUCCUUGUGGCCCUACCUACACUUUGAGUGCCCAGUGACCCCAUGUGGCUAUGGUCAGCACUGAGACAACUGUGCACACUGUCACAGCUAGCUGCCCGAGGCUGUCUACCCUGCCCCAUCCUUGUGAUGGAGGAGCUUGGGCAUAGGUAAGACGAGUUGAUGGCUAUGAGGCUGCUGUCACUCCUACACUUGCUUUAUAGCAAAAUAAGCCUUAGAUCUUCACAAGAGCAUCGUGAUUUCCUUCACAGGGAUAAUUACAUGUUCCAAGCCCAGUUGGGGUUCAAGAGGAGGUUAAAAUCCUUCCCAAGAGUGCUCGCGGCGUUCCUCCCCUGCAAACUAAGAAGUAACUGGAAGUCUCCCUGCCCUGGGCGGCAAUGACCACGAGAUCUUCACAGACCCGAGAACCGUGGGCUACACUGUGACAGCACCCGAGGACACACGCAGGAUCUGUGAAGAGCUCUUCUUGUAACGAGGGUGGGGAGGGGGUCCCUGGGCCAAAGCCACGGCCCCUCCUCACACACACCCACUCCCAGGCCAGCUGUCUGCACUGUCCAGCUGUGCACGGUGUGGACACCACCACACUGGGCAGCAGGAUCAGCCUCCACCCCCAGCAGGUCAUGCUCCUCUUGCAGUGCCGGAAGGAUCCAGGGAGGGGAUGAGACCCCAUCCCCAGCCUCAGACCUGCCUCGCGCUGGCACGUUUUCACCCUAACAUGGGCUCUGGAAACUCAUUCAAGGAGGAUUCAGAAAGAACAAAUGUGCCGAGGCUCGCCCUCUUCAAGGGUCUCAAAUACAACUGCUGUUAGUGUUUGGACCCUGGCGUAGCUACCAGAAAGGGCGACAGCCCCUGCAUGACCCUGGAACACAGCUGGGCUCCCCUCCCUCCUGAAGCCCCCUCCCGAGUUGAGCCAGGGGGUGGGGGGAGGUGCUGGGAUGCGCAGUUUUCCAGCCUGCUUCCUGUUUGUGGCCUGCCAGGCAGAUUGCUGGCCUGGUACCAAGUGACCCCUGGCGUCUGCACUGGGCAGACCCCGCGUUCACUGCUCUGAACAGCCUAGCUGCUCCUGGGAGGACAGACCCUGCUAAGACACUGGCGGCAGCCCUUCCCCUGCACCAGAGCAGCUCCCAGGGAUGUCAUCAGACUUCCCCAAGAGGGCCCUCCUGACGGGACCUGGUUCCUCAGGCGUCCACACAGUCUGCUCCUGCCCACCCUUCCCUGUGGACUGAGGGAGCUCCACGCCCCCAGCCCCCGGAGCACUGGGAAGAGCCCUCCGAGAAGGGGUUCCUGUGCCACUUUCCAGCAUCUGGCCAUCUCCACCCCGAGGCUUACCACCCAGUCAGCCCAACUGCCCGGCUGCAUGGGGUGAGGGCCAGCAGCAGCUGCAGGCCUGCCCUUUGUCCCACACAGGCAGGUUCUGAGGAGCUCUCAGGACCAGCCAUCUUGUCACCUGCCCUUGUUGAAUUUUGAAAUUGUACUGUAACGACCUUUCAAAACACAGUGGAGCACACUAAAGUGACGUUUCCUGUUUCUCA